rnacentral:lncRNA from 1 species
GUUCAGGAACCUCUCGCCUUCAUCAAAUCUCCUACUGACCUGCAGACCCUGCAUCGAAUUACAGAUAUGAUAAGGGCUUUCGAUAUCCAAUACCCAGGCAGUAGUAUCACAAAUGAAAAAGUUGCAAAGUGUUAUCAUAUAAUUACCUUGCUUCUUCUUCAGCCUGUUCGGAUCCAGGGAGGCAAUGUAUAGAGGACAGUUCCUCUUCCAGUGCCCCUGCUUCUUGCAAAAGAAGCACUC